UACGAAGGGAGCUAGCGUUACUCGGAAUUAUUGGGCGUAAAGCGUGCGCAGGCGGCCUUCCAAGUCAGGGGUGAAAGCCCAGAGCUCAACUCUGGAAUUGCCUUUGAGACUGUGAGGCUUGAGUACGGGAGAGGUGAGUGGAAUUCCCAGUGUAGAGGUGAAAUUCGUAGAUAUUGGGAAGAACACCGGUGGCGAAGGCGGCUCACUGGCCCGAAACUGACGCUCAUGCACGACAGCGUGGGGAUCAAACAGG
rnacentral:rRNA from 1 species